rnacentral:rRNA from 1 species
CCUACGGGAGGCAGCAGUGAGGAAUAUUGGUCAAUGGCCGGAAGGCUGAACCAGCCAUGCCGCGUGAAGGUCAGUGCCCUUUGGGCGGUAAACUUCUUUUGUGCGGGAGCAAUAAUGGUCACGUGUGGCCAGACGAGAGUACCGUACGAAUAAGCAUCGGCUCACUCCGUGCCAGCAGCCGCGGUUAAACGGGGGAUGCAAGCGUUAUCCCGAUUUAUUGGGUUUUAAGGGUGCGUAGGCUGUGAGGUAAGUCAGCGGUGAAAUGCCCCCGCUCAAAGGGGUGAAGUGCCAUUGAUACUGCCUAGCUGGAAUGCGGAUGCGGUGAGAGGAAUGUGUGGUGUAGCGGUGAAAUGCAUAGAUAUCACACAGAACACCGGUGGCGAAGGCAUCUCACGAAUCCGCGAUUGACGCUGAUGCACGAAAGCGUGGGUAUCAAACAGGAUUAGAUACCCCGGUAGUC